AACGUAGGAGACAAACGUUAUCCGGAGUUACUGGGCGUAAAGGGCGUGUAGGUGGUUUCGUAAGUCUGGCGUGAAAUAUCUCGGCUUAACCGAGGCAGGUCGUCGGAUACUGCGGAACUAGAGGACGGUAGAGGCGUGUGGAAUUCCGGGUGUAGUGGUGAAAUGCGUAGAGAUCCGGAGGAACACCAGUGGCGAAGGCGACACGCUGGGCCGUACCUGACACUGAUGCGCGACAGCAUGGGGAGCAAACAAG
rnacentral:rRNA from 1 species